UACGUAGGUGGCAAGCGUUGUCCGGAUUUACUGGGCGUAAAGAGCGCGCAGGCGGUCGUUUAAGUCGAAUGUGAAAGCCCCCGGCUCAACUGGGGAGGGUCAUUCGAUACUGAUCGACUUGAAGGCAGGAGAGGGAAGUGGAAUUCCCGGUGUAGUGGUGAAAUGCGUAGAUAUCGGGAGGAACACCAGUGGCGAAGGCGACUUCCUGGCCUGUUCUUGACGCUGAGGCGCGAAAGCUAGGGUAGCAAACGGG
rnacentral:rRNA from 1 species